rnacentral:rRNA from 1 species
GAUGAACGCUGGCGGCGUGCCUAAUACAUGCAAGUCGAGCGAACGGACGAGAAGCUUGCUUCUCUGAUGUUAGCGGCGGACGGGUGAGUAACACGUGGAUAACCUACCUAUAAGACUGGGAUAACUUCGGGAAACCGUAGCUAAUACCGGAUAAUAUUUUGAACCGCAUGGUUCAAAAGUGAAAGACGGUCUUGCUGUCACUUAUAGAUGGAUCCGCGCUGCAUUAGCUAGUUGGUAAGGUAACGGCUUACCAAGGCAACGAUGCAUAGCCGACCUGAGAGGGUGAUCGGCCACACUGGAACUGAGACACGGUCCAGACUCCUACGGGAGGCAGCAGUAGGGAAUCUCCCGCAAUGGGCGAAAGCCUGACGGAGCAACGCCGCGUGAGUGAUGAAGGUCUUCGGAUCGUAAAACUCUGUUAUUAGGGAAGAACAUAUGUGUAAGUAACUGUGCACAUCUUGACGGUACCUAAUCAGAAAGCCACGGCUAACUACGU